ensembl:misc_RNA Metazoa_SRP Metazoan signal recognition particle RNA
GCCGGUGGUGGUGGCGCGCGCCUGUAAUCCAAGUUUCCUGGAGGCUGAGGCUGGAGGAUGGUUGGAGCUCAGGAGCACUGAGCUGCAGUGGACUAUGCUGAUCAGGUGUCCACACUCAGUUUGGUAUCGAUAUGGUCUUCCUGGGGGAGCCCAGGACAACCAGGUCCUCUAAGGAGGGAUGAAUCGGCCCAGGUCGGAAACAGAGCAGGUCAAAGCCCACAUGCCGCUCAAUAGUGGGAUCGCACCUGAGAGUAGACACUGAAGCACAGCCUGAGGUACUCAUCCAGACCCAAUCUUU